rnacentral:tRNA from 2 species
AAGACUUUAAGUUAAAUAAACUAAAAACCUUCAAAGUUUUAAUUGAGCAAUCUCAAGUCUUG